rnacentral:lncRNA from 1 species
AAAAUAAAAGUAGAUGUGUUGUUAAUAUUGAAGUGAUUUAAGGCCAUCCUUGUUAGCCACUUGACUUAAAUUGUGUCCAAAUUCUCAUAUGAUCCUAGUUUACCCUCUUUAUGCCUUGUAGCAUUUCUUUGAAUUAACCAAUGAUGGGUAGAACUUAGAUUGUUAGUGGUUACUUUGAUAAAAAUGUUUGGGAAAUGAUUGAAAUUGCUUAUCAAGCUUUGAUUGAGUGAAAAUCACUAGUCCCCUAUGAGACUUAAAAAAGAAAAAAAAAGAAAAAAAAAUGAAAAUGAAUGUGAAUAAAAGAGCAUAAAGGGGAGUGAUUUGCCUUUUGAAUCAUAUCAUGAUAAGUAUCACUAAGGGUGAAAAGAAGAAAUGUGGGGAUAUUGGUUUUUGAUUGAUUAAAAAAGAGAAAUGGUGAAUUUGACUUGUUCAUUGUGAUUGUUAGAUUGUGGAAUAUGAGUCAUUUGCCUAAAAACA